CAAUGCCCUUAUCCAAAGUUUCUGUAGGAUGAAUAAGCUUCAGAAGGCACAGAAACUUCUCAUUAGCAUGUUGACAUUGGAUUUAUGUCCCGACAAUUUUACCUACUGUGCUUUUAUCAAGGCA
rnacentral:miRNA from 1 species